rfam:Otolemur garnettii contig117693, whole genome shotgun sequence.
GCACCUGUGGCUCAAAGGAGUAGGGCGCUGGCCCCAUAUGCCAGAGGUGGCGGGUUCAAACCCAGCCCCGUCCA